CCGUGUUGUAGCUAACGCGUUAAGCACUCCGCCUGGGGACUACGGUCGCAAGACUAAAACUCAAAGGAAUUGACGGGGACCCGCACAAGCGGUGGAGCAUGUGGUUUAAUUCGAUGCAACGCGAAAAACCUUACCACUCCUUGACAUGGAGAUUAGAUCCUUCUUAACGGAAGGGCGCAGUUCGGCUGGAUCUCGCACAGGUGCUGCAUGGCUGUCGUCAGCUCGUGUCGUGAGAUGUUGGGUUAAGUCCCGCAACGAGCGUAACCCUCAUCCUUAGUUGCCAGCGGGUAAUGCCGGGCACUUUAAGGAAACUGCCGGUGGUAAACUGGAGGAAGGUGGGGAUGAUGUCAAGUCAGCACGGCCCUUAUGGGGUGGGCUACACACGUGCUACAAUGGUGACUACAAUAGGUUGCAAUGUCGCAAGGCUGAGCUAAUCCGUAAAAGUCAUCUCAGUUCGGAUUGUCCUCUGCAACUCGAGGGCAUGAAGUCGGAAUCGCUAGUAAUCGUGGAUCAGCAUGCCACGGUGAAUACGUUCUCGGGUCUUGUACACACUGCCCGUCACGCCAUGGGAAUUGGCUUAACUCGAAGCUGGUGCGCUAACCGAAAGGAAGCAGCC
rnacentral:rRNA from 1 species